CCUACGGGAGGCAGCAGUGGGGGAUAUUGCACAAUGGGGGAAACCCUGAUGCAGCAACGCCGCGUGAGUGAAGAAGUAUUUCCGUAUGUAAAGCUCUAUCAGCAGGGAAGAGAAUGACGGUACCUGACUAAGAAGCCCCGGCUAACUACGUGCCAGCAGCCGCGGCAAUACGUAGGGGGCGAGCGUUAUCCGGAUUUACUGGGUGUAAAGGGAGCGUAGACGGCUGGUAAAGUCUGAAGUGAAAGCCCGGUGCUUAACCCCGGAACGGCUUUGGAAACUGAGCAGCUAGAGUGCUGGAGAGGUAAGCGGAAUUCCUGGUGUAGCGGUGAAAUGCGUAGAUAGUAGGAGGAACACCAGUGGCGAAGGCGGCUUACUGGACAGUAACUGACGUUGAGGCUCGAAAGCGUGGGGAGCAAACAGGAUUAGAUACCCUUGUAGUC
rnacentral:rRNA from 1 species